CAAUAGCGUAUAUUUAAGUUGUUGCAGUUAAAAAGCUCGUAGUUGGAUUUCGGGUGGGACGCAGCGGUCUCGCCUUGCGUUUGUACUGCUGCAGCCCUCCUUCUUGCCGGGGGCGGCCUCUCGGACUUCACUGUCUGGGGGUCAGAAUCGGCGAUGUUACUUUGAGUAAAUUAGAGUGUUCAAAGCAAGCUUACGCUCUGAAUAUAAUAGCAUGGGAUAACACGACAGGACUCUGGCCUAUCGUGUUGGUCUAUAGGACCAGAGUAAUGAUUAAGAGGGACAGUCGGGGGCAUUCGUAUUCCGUUGUCAGAGGUGAAAUUCUUGGAUUUACGGAAGACGAACAUCUGCGAAAGCAUUUGCCAAGGAUGUUUUCAUUG
rnacentral:rRNA from 1 species